AUUUUAUUGUUUUCUGCGUAAAUAUAAACUUAGUCAGAAUCCUUCUUAUUUUGAUGCAUCGUUGAAUUCAAUGCCUUUACAUUAUUGUAAUUAUAAACAAUGACUUAUUUAAGAGAGAAUGACAUACAGGAUAGUUUCAAUUACUUUGACAACGAUUGUAAAUGCAAGUUAAAUAAAGAAGAAAUUGUAUGUGCAGUUAUAUCUCUUUUUGGAGCACCUCCUUCCAAGGUGAAAAUUGAUAUGUUUUUAUUACUCAAAUGUGAAAAAGUGUCAUUUUAUUUUCCUUGAACAAGUGUAACGUGGUAAACCCAGCAGGUUGAAUUGAAAGCAAUCAUGAAAAUUGCAAUUAGAAAACAUGUCAGUUGGCCGCUAUUUAAUGCUAUUGCUAAAAAGCAACUACUUCAAUACAAUGAGUUCCCUUGUGACAAUGAGAUCAUUCAAAAAGCUUUUGACAGUUUCUUCAAUAAAGUUUUAAUCAAUCAUCUCAGGGGCAGCGUCAUUGAAAUAAUGAAAAAUCACCAAAUCAGGGUCUUCACUGGAAACCCUUAUUUCAAGAGAAUUAUUCCUAUCAGUUACCAAACAAUAUGUUCCAUCUUUAGAUGAAAAGAGCAUAUGCAAUGCUUUUUCAGAACUUGAUUCAGACAAAGAUGGAACUUUGAACUUCUUUGAUUUUGCUUCAGCUUUACAAUCUGAUGUGCCAUAAGUCACUUGAUUUGUUUCAUCACACAUCCAGCAUUGAAUAAGAACAUGGAUUCAUGAUUCACAUGUAAAAUCACAUUGUAAAGUACCUUUAACUUCGUAUUUCAGAAAACGAAAAUAUUCACCAAAUUGCAACAAUUGUUUUGGAAAAUCACAUUGUAGAAGUGACAAUCUAAUUUUGCAAGAUGCACUAGAUUUUCAUAUAUUUCUUAUAACAUAGAUGAUAAACAAUGUUCAACUUUUAAUAUCUAUAAAAAAGUAAAAAAUAAAAAGCAUUCUCAUUAUAUUAAUAAAUUUCCUACUUUCCCA